rnacentral:rRNA from 1 species
CGGGGAAUAUUGCACAAUGGGCGAAAGCCUGAUGCAGCAACGCCGCGUGAGUGAUGAAGGCCUUCGGGUUGUAAAGCUCUGUCUUUUGGGACGAUAAUGACGGUACCAAAGGAGGAAGCCACGGCUAACUACGUGCCAGCAGCCGCGGUAAUACGUAGGUGGCAAGCGUUGUCCGGAUUUACUGGGCGUAAAGGAUGCGUAGGCGGAUUUUUAAGUGAGAUGUGAAAACCCUAAGCUUAACUUGGGGACUGCAUUUCAUACUGGAAAUCUAGAGUGCGGGAGAGGAGAAUGGAAUUCCUAGUGUAGCGGUGAAAUGCGUAGAGAUUAGGAAGAACACCAGUGGCGAAGGCGAUUCUCUGGACCGUAACUGACGCUGAGGCAUGAAAGCGUGGGUAGCAAACAGGAUUAGAUACCCUGGUAGUCCACGCCGUAAACGAUGAGUACUAGGUGUAGGAGGUAUCGACCCCUUCUGUGCCGCAGUUAACACAAUAAGUACUCCGCCUGGGAAGUACGAUCGCAAGAUUAAAACUCAAAUGAAUUGACGGGGUCAUAGCUGUUUCCU